ACGAACUCUUCGGAGUUAGUGGCGGACGGGUGAGUAACACGUGGGAACGUGCCUUUAGGUUCGGAAUAACUCAGGGAAACUUGUGCUAAUACCGAAUGUGCCCUUCGGGGGAAAGAUUUAUCGCCUUUAGAGCGGCCCGCGUCUGAUUAGCUAGUUGGUGAGGUAAAGGCUCACCAAGGCGACGAUCAGUAGCUGGUCUGAGAGGAUGAUCAGCCACAUUGGGACUGAGACACGGCCCAAACUCCUACGGGAGGCAGCAGUGGGGAAUCUUGCGCAAUGGGCGAAAGCCUGACGCAGCCAUGCCGCGUGAAUGAUGAAGGUCUUAGGAUUGUAAAAUUCUUUCACCGGGGACGAUAAUGACGGUACCCGGAGAAGAAGCCCCGGCUAACUUCGUGCCAGCAGCCGCGGUAAUACGAAGGGGGCUAGCGUUGCUCGGAAUUACUGGGCGUAAAGGGAGCGUAGGCGGACAUUUAAGUCAGGGGUGAAAUCCCGGGGCUCAACCUCGGAAUUGCCUUUGAUACUGGGUGUCUUGAGUAUGAGAGAGGUGUGUGGAACUCCGAGUGUAGAGGUGAAAUUCGUAGAUAUUCGGAAGAACACCAGUGGCGAAGGCGACACACUGGCUCAUUACUGACGCUGAGGCUCGAAAGCGUGGGGAGCAAACAGGAUUAGAUACCCUGGUAGUCCACGCCGUAAACGAUGAUUGCUAGUUGUCGGGAUGCAUGCAUUUCGGUGACGCAGCUAACGCAUUAAGCAAUCCGCCUGGGGAGUAC
rnacentral:rRNA from 1 species